AUUGCGCAAAAGCAGGAAGCUGAUGAAUUUAUAAUUGGGCUUCCGAAAUCGAGUGAUGGGAAGGAGACGCCUCAGUCUAACAAAGUUCGAAGUGUUGCCGGCAGGCUUGCUGUUCGAGCUGCUCAUAGGGGCUGGAGAGUAUACCUGCUGGAUGAACACGGGACGACAAGAGAGGCUGUUGACCGAAUGAUUUGCAUG